rnacentral:tRNA from 1 species
GCCUCUGUGAUGUAAUGGUAGCAUGCAAAACUGAAAAUUUUGUUGAACAAGUUCGAAUCUUGUCGGAGGCAC